GGAAUAUUCGAUGCUCCGAAAAUCAUUGAGCGUGUGCAGAAGGUGCGGAGAUGUUCACCGUGGCAUCACGUACCAAGGAGAAAAGCUGGAGAGAACUUGAGUGUCCAACAGUGAGGGUUCGUCACAUAAGGGAUGGGAGGGUCCCACAGGGGCCUACCUGCAGCUGUUAGAAAGGAUGACGUCACUGUAGCAAGAACCUCGGAGCUUCUCCCAGAUACACGUGGCGGGGGGCUGAGAGCCCUUGACAGCAUGGCGUGGGGUGUGCGCCUAUUUAAGGUUUAAAAGCACCACUCCUGCAAAGACAGUACAGUUACCUGUGGAGAGCAGAGAGCCGCCCGGAGGGACAGACAGCGGACCGUGAAGGGCCUGCUGGGAUGGGGGUGGGGGAACUGAGGCUGAAAGAGAAGAAAGGAUUUAGCCAAGGCCACCUCCUGAAUUAGGAGCCACGUGACCUAUCCUACUGCUUCUCAGCAAGAAGCCUGGCCCCAAAUCUCCUCCACUCCCCGCAGCUGCCGCCCCCCGCUGUUUCCAUUAGAGAGUCGUUCUUCCCUGUUUACCCUGUGAGUCCAGGAAGUCAACUCAGGGAGAGAAGGCGCUUGCCAAGGCCACCCAGCGAGGAGCAACUGAGAUAAGACGGAGCGCAGGUCAGGUGGCCCAGCCCACGCCCUCCCCUCCUGCAGGGAACAGCUCAGAGCAGAGCGGCCAGGCCAAGAGAGCAUCCCGAGAUGGUGUCAGAAGAAACCUCGUGGCAAGGACGUGCGCCUGAUACACAAAGCGGCUGCCCCCCGCCUCCGCCCCUGCUAGGACGCGGGUGUAUGAGAGUUGGGAUUUUUGUCUCCUGCUGUACGAAGUAGCCGAGAGAAGAGAAUCGGCACUGAUGAUCAGAUUUUUAGCUCGACAUACCCACAAAACCGGCUCUAAGAUGAAGACACACGUGGUUUCCAUCCCCAGAAGCUCCCCUGUGCUCCCUCUGGUCAGCACCCGCCCCCCGCCCAAGGGGACCCAUCCUCCCCUUCCUUGUUCCUGACUUUCCUGCACCUGGAGCCACGGCACCUGCUCCUUCCACGUGCCGGCUUUCUGCUCCCCAUGUGUGAGAGUCACCCGUGUGGGCAGCGAGGGGACCCGUGGGCUUUUAGCUUAAGCAACCACGUGGGCAGUGGUGCCACCUCCUGAGCUGGGAUGGCCAGCGGGGAGCAGGGAAUCCAGAGUUCUGCCCAGAGUUCAGGCUGAGAGUGUGGACGCGGGCCUGGGGCUGGAGACGGGAGUCAGGCAACAUCAGCCCAGGGACGACAUUAAAGCCAUGAGAGCAGGAAUUAUCCAGUCUCUUGCUGCCACAGAUUCAGGGCCACCUGCUCCAGGUCAGGCCUCCCACCUGCUCUCCACUGGGAGGCACCUAAAGGAC
ensembl:lncRNA